UGUGAGAUCAGAGAAAGAGAAACGGGAAUUUCACUCCCAACUCGUCGUUCAAGUUUCAUCCCAAAACCCCAAAAUUACCCCUUAAUAGCCGCAAUACAGUCACGAAAUUACUCCCAACUCGUCGUUUCAAUUGCUGAAAUUUCAGAACUCCGGGAUUAUUAUUUUAGCUGUUGAGCCGAGGUUGCUGUUUGGAAGUCUUUGGCCGCGGUCUAGUUUUUUCGGCUGAAAUUCCGUUGUUCGGAAUAUUCUGUCUUCUUUUACUUCGUCAAUAAAGGUCCUUUCUCUUGUUCUUUACUUUAUUCAAUAUUCUCAAUCUCCUAUUUUGGAUUUAUAAAAGGCAUGUGAUAUGUUUGCUACAUUCUAGCCCUUCUGUGUUUCUUUGUAAAAUUGAUUGACAUGUUAGAGUUUAUUCUUAGGUGGUAAAGUCACGUAAGGAUUAGAAUUUGGAUCUUUAGUUUAUUCUCAUAAUUUUGUUAACUUGGUAUUUCAAGUUUGAGAUGAUAGAUAGUUUAAUGGAUAGAACUUUCCUUUAUGUGGGUUUGAUUUGGAACUAACUAAUUAAAGUUUAUAUUUUUAUUCAGUUGAUUCACCUUUUGCACUAAAUAUUUACUGAUGGUUAUCAUUAUGUGUUUAUUUGAGUUGUCCGAUUAUUCAUCUACACUGUUAUUAAAAAGGAAUAAAGAGAAGUUCUUUCCAUGGGGUCAAUGGCUUUGUAAUAUAAUUAGGGUUUGGUACGUCCCUUUUAAGUGAUAAUUGAAUCUAUAAGUGUAGACGACUUGUGAAUAAUACUAAAUAGUUAAAUUUUACACUUCUUUCACAAUUUCAUAUUCAUAAAUCAUGGCCUCACAAUAAUUUCAAACAAGCUUAAGAAAUUAAUCAACUCACAAAAGCGUUAGAAUGUUUUAGGCGUACUUUUAAUUAAUCAAAUCAUCAUGAUUAUGUAUACGUCCGCGUGACAUAGUUAUAAUUUUCCAAAUUAAAGGUAAAGUAUGCGUUUGCGCGACUUUGACAAAACAAUCUUAAAAAUAAUAAAGUGUUAUUAAUUGUGUACACGUACGCGUGACAUGAUUCUUGACACACUAAACAAAACGAAUACACGUGCGCAUGAUUCGUUUCAAGAUGAUUUCAUAAUUACAAAUAAUCAAGUAAUUAGAAGCGGUUUAAGGCAAAAUUGCAUAAAUUUCCCUAGAACAUUAAAAUAUCCAGAAUUAGUUAAGCCGGAUAUAAAUAUUAAAGCAACCGUAUUAGAACCAUGGAACUCGGGAGUGACUCGCACCUUCUUCCGGGUUAACAAAAUUUCUUACCCGAUCUUCUGUGUUUCGCAGACUUAAACAUAGUCAAUUUUCUUGAAUUGGGAUUUUAAAAUAAAUGGUGACUUGAAACACCGUAAAUAUUAUUCCAAGUGGCGACUCUUUAAAAAUAAAAUAAAUUAAUCCCUUUUCAACUAAUGUCACUUAAAUUGAAAAAACUCCUCCCUUUCCUCGUAAAAAAAGAGGCGUGACAAUUAUCAGUCCUGAGUGUUUGAACUUUGGCAUGGAACUGGGUUGAAACCAUUGCAAUAAUGGCUUUGAUAACUGAAAAGGCAUUGCUCUUGCAAGAUAAUAGGUGGGUCCAAGUGACUCUGCUACAGUCAUCUACAAUGGUUAAGAGGUAUCUGAAACUAUUGUAGGUAAUUGUAUGGUAAAGGCCCCAAAGAUCAACAUGGACAAGCUGGAAAGGGUUGGUAGAGUGGGUGGAACUAUGAGGGAAAGGUAAUCUUUGUUGCCUUGCCAUUGGGCAGAUUGAACAAUUAAAGGAUUGCUUGGAAGAAAAGGUAAAUGUGCAAUAAUAACUGAACCAUGUACGAGUGUUAAUAUUCAAUAUAUUUAAAAAGUACCGAACCACUAAACAUAAUAUAUAUUCAGUAAAUAUCACCAUUAUAAUUGUGCCCGACGACUUGUCAUGUUUUCAAAACGAUCAAUGAUCGCAUCAUUAGGUACACUUUCAAAUACUUCAUCUUUUAUAUAACAAACUAAAUAGUCAUUUAUAAACUCAUCACCAAUUCUGCUCCGCAAGUCAUUUUUGAUGUAUUUCAUUGAAGAAAAAGCUCUUUUUACCGUUGCAGUAGCGAUAGACAAUAUCAAACUCAACUUUACAAGCAAAUAAACAAGUCCCUAAGUCUUGUGCAGCUCUAUUUCAACUAGUAUUUCUGAAAGAUCUCCAAGCCCUUUCAAGUUAGACAAAUUACGGUCUUCUCUUACAUAAAGAAUAUAGUUGUCAAGAUCGUAGCUAAGAUCUUCAAGCGUGGAAAUACUAUACUCAUGAGAAUAAAGUUUAGCAAGCUUCAUAAUUCUUUCUUUAUCAUAAUUUGCAAAAAAAUUAUCCGGACUCAAACUAGCCAUACUAAGAAGUAGAUCACUAUUCACUACAUCAAAAUGACUAUUAAGUUCUGAAAGCUGCAAAUCAAUGACAACAUUAAAAAUAUCUAUACGCAAAUGAUGAGAGUAUAUCACACUUGAACUCCUACGCUUUGACUUUCCAAGAUGAUUGUUCUUAUCCAUUUCAGGGAUCAUAAUACCAUGUUUGGCACAAAAUGAAGAGGCAUCGGCUAUCAAAGAUUCCCAAUUAGACUCUCUCAUUGAUUGCAAUUGGCUCUUGGCAAAACCAAUGAACUUCAUAGCAUUUACAAUAUUCCGAUCUUUUCUUUGUAAAACAAUAUUCAAAUCAUUUUGUAAUUGCUAAUACUUUUAACAUCAAAUGCAAUAAAUGCACAAACUCAAAAUAUCUUAUGUCAUUCACUAGACUUUUUUCCAUUGAUCUCUCGAGAUAAUUUGCACCUUCACUUGCAAGAACUUCAAGAAUAUGAAUAUUUGACGAGAAUAAUGCAAUAAAGUUACGCACUAUCUUAAAAUGAGAUCCUCAACGGGUAUCUCCUGGCCUUUGAAAUCUAAGUUCUUGAUUUUGUGUACUUCCCGUAUCAACUUCACCAAGCAUAAGCAAUUCCUCUAGUUUUUGUGCUUGAUCCUCUCGGAGCAUCUACCUGCGCUUAAAAGAACUUCCAAUAGUAUUCAAGACAUUAGUAACAAUAUCAAAAAAUUGAUCCACAUCAUAAUGUUUCUUUGCAACAGCUACAAGAGUCAAUUGCAAUUGAUGAGCAAAGCAAUGUACGCAAUAAGCUGAAAGAGUAUCUUUCAAGAUUAACGUCUUAAGCCCAUUGAUUUCUCCUUGCAUAUUACUAGCUCCAUCAUAACCUUGUCUCCGUAUUUGUGGUCGACUUAAUGAACGCUCUAAAAGCAAAGAAUAGAUUGCCUUUUACAAUGACAAUGCAGUUGUAUCUUUAACAUGAACAAUACUAAGGAAUCGCUCAAUAAAUUUUCCCUCUUUGUUGAUGUAUCACAGAACAAGAGACAUUUGUUCCUUAUGAGAGACAUCCUUAGAUUCAUCAACCAAUAUUCCGAAAUAAUCUCCAUUCAUCUCUUUAACAAUAGCUUUCAUUGUUUCUUUUGCACUAGCAUUCACAAUCUCUUUUUGAAUAUUUGGAGCAAUCAUCAUAUUAUUCCGUGGAACUUUUUCUAAUACAAUUUUUUUUCACUUCAUCAUCUCUAUUUGCAUACCAUUGCAAGAGUUCUAGAAAGUUUCCUCUUUUUGUAGAUGUUCCACCUUCAUUGUGGCCUCGAAAAGGCAUUCCUUGUUUUAUGAGAAAUCUGGCCACAUCAAUCGAAGUAGUCAAUCGAAGUCGAUACUCACUUUUAGCUUUCUCAGACUGCUUGUCAAAAGAGGUUAAAAUUGAUUGUUCCUGAUUCAUUAAAUCUCUCAAACAUCGAUUGUGAAGACUAUUCACUUCACCAAUAUGUGCAUUAAACCUUUCUGUAGAUUUAUUCCAAGCUUUAAAACCACUCUUUGUAAAAGAAUCCCCGACCUUUCCAUGUCCUCCAUGCUCAUUUUUAAAUAAGUAGCAACAUAAGCAAAAUGUCGCAUCAACUUUAAUACUAUAUUCUAACCAACCCGAAUAUGAAUUAAACCACUCCGGAUUAAAUUGACGCAUUAGUCCACCAAAAUUUUUUUUGGAAACUUAUGAUUACGAGGUUGACAUGGUCCUUCUUUAAUAUAAUAUCUCCUCACUCGGUCACGCAGAUUAGGAGAAUAUUCUGAGAUUUGCUUUCUUUCAGCAGGAUCAGGUUUAAGAUCCAAAUUCAACAUUUCAUCUUUGUUUAAUUCUGUUGAAGGCUUAAUAUUAUCAUGAAUAAUUGGACAUGGAGAAGUACUUGGAAAAGGAGAGCUAGUACCGGAACUUGGAGAAGUUGGAAUAGCCUUGAAAAAUCUCGUGAUCGUCAUAUAUAUAUAAGAAGCAAAGUGUUCCCUACAAAAUUGAUUUUGAAUAAGACAGUCAGUCAUCUAUUUUAUUAGAAAUUUUCAACAAUCAUCUUCUCUACAUUGAAAUGUCCAACUAAACUAGUUACAUAUUAACCAACUUUAUUAUCAAUAUAAGUUUAAUAAAUUAUCCCAAAAAAGUGUUUAAAAUCUUAUAGGGUUACAUACUUUUUUAAGAAUAUUAAGUAUUUAAGACUUAAAGCUAGUAACUUUCUUCUCUAUACGUUAAUCAUUGAGAGAGGAAAAUGGUUUUUUUUCUAAUUGCUAGCAAAAAACUUCAAAAAAAAAAAGAAAUAAAGUAUCCAUAAGAAGUAGAUAAUGAGCAAUUGUACCAUUAUUAUAGCUUAUAAUAUAUAAACUACAUCAUAAUAGAGAAUCAUAACCAUAGAGCCAUAGAUUUGUACCAGCAAAAUCCUAACUUUAGAAGUUUGGGGUUGAAGAACUUCAAUUUCUUAAUCUGAUAUGUGCCCGAGAAGAAUAAGACUCCCUUUGAUUUUUUAUGUUUUUGAAAAGAGUAUAAAAGUCCAUUAUAUCAAUGAAGUACAAUAAAAAAAGUAUUUAAAUGAUUAAAUGGGUCCAUAACUUUUAGACAACAUGAAAAGAUCACUAUUUAUUUAAUUUAAUAAAAAGGAACAAAGGGAUCCCAUGUGCUGAUGUGUUACAAACUAAGAAAAGGACAAAAAAAGUCCCCUACUACUCUAAUACAAAAUAAAGUGAAAGUGGGGAAUAAAACUCAGGUCUCCAGCAAGGAACAGAAGUAAGAUGAAGUUUUCCACCACUGAACCCAUAGCCUCUUUUAGUUUAUGGGUUCCUAGUUUAAUAUAUAACCAAAUUUCGCUGAAUUUGUACAAUAUAUGCUCGAUUUUUGUCGAAAGUUAUGGGUUUAUUUGAACUCGUACCAAAUAUGCUAGAUCCGCCCAUGUGAGUUGUACGAAAGUUAAUGCACAUAAAUCAAAUUGUAAGAAAAUGAUGGUGCUAACAGCACAUUAGUAAGAGUAAUAUCAGGAAAUAAAGUGAAAGAACCAAAAGAAGUCUCUUUGACUUUAUACCCAUUAGGUAAGGUUACUAGUGAAGGAGAAAGUAAUGGUUCUAUGUUAUGUAAUAGAUAUUUAUGUGGUGUCAUAUGAUUGGUAGCUCCAGAAUCCGAACUCCAAGAACUAAAAUCUUUACAAGUAACAUGACACACAAUGUAAUCAUAAAGUCUACUAACAGGAUUAUUGUGCCAACCUGCAAAAUUAGCAUACACUUGAUUUCCCUGAGAGGAGGUACUAUGAACAUAAG
rnacentral:lncRNA from 1 species